rnacentral:rRNA from 1 species
GAGACUCUGUGCGCGUGCAUAUCAAUAAGCGGAGGAAAAGAAACUAACUAAGGAUUCCCUCAGUAACGGCGAGUGAAGCGGGAAGAGCUCAAAUUUGAAAUCUUCAAGGUUCUACCUUGACGAAUUGUAGUUUAAAGAAGUGUUUUCUGUUGGAGUUUUGGUAAAAGUUCUUUGGAAUAGGACAUCAUAGAGGGUGAGAAUCCCGUAUUUGACCAUUACUUUCCAGCUGUGUGAUACACUUUCAAAGAGUCGGAUUGUUUGGGAAUGCAGUCCAAAAUGGGUGGUAAAUUUCAUCUAAAGCUAAAUACUGGCGAGAGACCGAUAGCGAACAAGUACCGUGAGGGAAAGAUGAAAAGAACUUUGAAAAGAGAGUUAAACAGUACGUGAAAUUGUCAGAAGGGAAGCGUUUGACACCAGUGUUGUUUUUCCGAAAAUCGAUUACGAAUGUUUUAUUUUUGAGAAGUUAUGACUUCAUCGGCUUGCUUCUCUCUUUACUGAAACUUUCUUAAUGCACUUUUCGGUUAACGAGUCAACAUCAAUUUCUUUUGUUGUAAAAGGGUACGAGGAAGGUGGCUUUCUUUUCGGAGAAAGUGUUUAUAGCCUUGUACCUCUGCAAUCGGAGAGAUUGAGGUCUGCAGCGUAGAUCCUUCGGGGUUAGAUACAUUUGUGCUAAGUUAUAGCUUUUCAUAGACAACUUGUUGACUAUGUUAAGUCUUGUAGCUUACUCGCUUAUGCUAUUUUACCUACGCUUAGGAUGUUGACGAUCAGCUGAGCGCG